rnacentral:tRNA from 1 species
GCUUCGAUGGUCUAGUUGGUUAUGACGACGCUUUAACACGGCGUAGGUCCCGAGUUCAAUUCUCGGUUGAAGUA